rnacentral:lncRNA from 1 species
AUGAGGAGAAGCUGUCAGUUGCAUGGGGAGAGAGACAUUGUGUGGACUAGACUGAACAAACAGAGAGAGGGAAGACUAGGACCAGGACCAAGUCAUACAUUCAACUCCAGCCAGAACCCGAUCACAAAGAUCUUGACCACAGUUAUGGACCAAACAGAGACUAAAGUGCAGUCUGCAUGUCCACAGAAGCAAUCUGCAAAGAGCAGAUCCAAGUCCACAGAGGAGGAAAAUCGAUCGAAGAAGGUAUGCUCUAAAUGAAAUGGCCAUAGCAUGCAGUAGGACCGAAUAACAAACUCUGAGGUAAUGAUCUGAUGUGGUUGACGACAAAUUGCACUGUAACUUGUGACUGAGAAUGGCGGUCAUUAUCAUUGUUACAGUGUUGAGACCGUGUCUGCUUGUCUCUAGUGCCACCUGGUGAUCGAGGUAGACACAGCAGGACAAACUCUUCACAGUGUACAUGUCUGGGUCAAAAUGAGGUCAAGUAUCAUGCAUCCUUUCCCUUUUCUUUAGACAUUCCACACUCCCCAGAAGUCUCUCCCGGUGCAGACCGACAUUGAGAAUAUCAAGAUGGAUUCAGCACCGCCUACGUCCUAAAACACACAUCUCUCCAAGUGCAGAAUCCAGUUGAGAGCAAUAGAGAAAACAAUUUAACAUUAACGUUCAAUAUCUUAUGCUCAUUUGUAACUUAUGUUGGGUUCUUCAUCAACCAUGGUACUGUGAGCCUUAAUUUGAAUAACACUGAUGCUCUUAAUAAACUUGAUCAAUAAAAGUGUUAAAUAGAUGCA